GCCUUCUCCUGCAACAUAACUAUGGCGUAUUGGAAGAUCUUCAGCUUGCUGUUGAUUCCUCUGAUGGCGACAGUCGUCCUAAGCAAAGCACUCCCUCAGAUGAUCCAACCUGCCCUCCUGCCUCUGUUCCCGGAUAAAAAACAGCUGACGUUCGACGACUACCCUGAUCGCCACUCUGUCAUUCCAAGUUUUAAAAAACCUCCUUAUUUCCCCCCUCCAUAUUAUAAAUACUAGGCUAUUGAUGCAGAUGAAUAAGAAAUAGACAGAGUGGGAAUUUCCUGCAAUUGUUUACAUCAUUAGAGCAAAGGCCAAUCCUGAUGUGUAAUCUACAGAAGUCUUUUUCAUUCAAACAGUCUUGGACACGAUAUUGCUUAAGAAAUGCUCAUGAAAA
rnacentral:lncRNA from 1 species